rnacentral:RNase_P_RNA from 1 species
GAGCUUGCAAAAGUAGUCGCUGGCUUGAAAAAUAGCGAGAGGAAAGUCCGGGCAGCACAGGAUACGAUAGUUGUUAACGACAACCGCGCGUAAGCGUAGGAAAAGUGCCACAGAAACUAAACCGCUUUUAGCUUCGGCUGAGAGUAAGGGUGAAAAGAGCGGGGUAAGAGCCCGCAGAUGUCGGUGGUGACAUCGGCAUGAGGUAAACUCUAUCGGCUGCAAGGAGACCUAGAUACCGUGUUCCGCGGAUGGUCGCUUACCGCUGGAUCCUGCGAGCAAUCGUAGGGCUAGAUAGAUGACUACGGAUCUAUGCUUUUGGCGUAGAUUACAGAACCCGGCUUAUGAUGCAGGCUCUUUU